rnacentral:rRNA from 1 species
UCCUGGCUCAGGACGAACGCUGGCGGCAGGCUUAACACAUGCAAGUCGAGGGGCAGCAUGAGGUAGCAAUACCUUGAUGGCGACCGGCGCAAGGGUGCGUAACGCGUGAGCAACUUGCCCGUUUCAGUGGGAUAACCGGUGGAAACGCCGACUAAUACCGCAUGGUGAUGUUUGGGGGCAUCCCCUUACAUCUAAAGAGAUUCGGAAACGGAUAGGCUCGCGUGACAUUAGCUGGACGGCGGGGUAACGGCCCACCGUGGCAACGAUGUCUAGGGGUUCUGAGAGGAAGGUCCCCCACACUGGAACUGAGACACGGUCCAGACUCCUACGGGAGGCAGCAGUGAGGAAUAUUGGUCAAUGGUCUGACGACUGAACCAGCCAUGCCGCGUGAAGGUGACGGCCCUAUGGGUCUUAAACUUUUUUUGCAGGGGUGCAAUAAGGAUCACGCGUGGUCCGAUGAGAGUACCCUGCGAAUAAGCAUCGGCUAACUCCGUGCCAGCAGCCGCGGUAAUACGGAGGAUGCAAGCGUUAUCCGGAUUUAUUGGGUUUAAAGGGUGCGUAGGCGGUCACUGUAAGUCAGUGGUGAAAUUCUGAUGCUUAACAUCACGAAGUGCCAUAGAUACUGCAGGGCUUGAAUGGGGUUGCUGUCAGCGGAAUGUGUAGUGUAGCGGUGAAAUGCAUAGAUAUUACACAGAACACCGAUUGCGAAGGCAGCUGACAAAACCUUGAUUGACGCUGAUGCACGAAAGUGUGGGGAUCAAACAGGAUUAGAUACCCUGGUAGUCCACACAGUAAACGAUGAUAACUAGCCGUUAGCGAUAUGAUAGUUAGUGGCCAAGCGAAAGCGAUAAGUUAUCCACCUGGGGAGUACGACCGCAAGGUUGAAACUCAAAGGAAUUGACGGGGGCCCGCACAAGCGGAGGAACAUGUGGUUUAAUUCGAUGAUACGCGAGGAACCUUACCCGGGCUCGAACGGUGCAUGAACAAACCAGAGAUGGUUUGGCUUUUCGGAGCAUGUAUCGAGGUGCUGCAUGGUUGUCGUCAGCUCGUGCCGUGAGGUGUCGGCUUAAGUGCCAUAACGAGCGCAACCCUUGUGGGUAGUUACCAUCGGGUCAAGCCGGGGACUCUACCCAGACUGCCGCCGUAAGGUGUGAGGAAGGUGGGGAUGACGUCAAAUCAGCACGGCCCUUACGUCCGGGGCGACACACGUGUUACAAUGGCAGGUACAGAGAGACGCUUACCAGCGAUGGUUGGCCAAUCUGCAAAAACCUGUCUCAGUUCGGAUAGGAGUCUGCAACUCGACUCCAUGAAGUUGGAUUCGCUAGUAAUCGCGCAUCAGCCAUGGCGCGGUGAAUAAAUUCCCGGGCCUUGCACUCACCGCCCGUCA